CUCUUCUUACUCCUAUAAAUAAUCCAGCACAUGCAUGACAUAUUCACUCAUCCUUCUCUUCAACUAUCUCCCCUCUCCAUAUACCGAAUAAAUCCAUAGCACUACAGUCAUGGCAACAAGACUUCUCUUUGCUUCCGUACCCAAAGCCCACCCGAAGAGUAGCAAACCAUCACAACACCGCACUCCAUUUUCUGCAGUUGCAGCAUCCCGUUUUCUACAGAUCUCAAGACUUCAUGCUUCUAAAACUCUCGAGACAAUAUACGAAGAAGAAAUGACCACAUGCAGUGAAAGCAGAGAUGGUGUUGCAGAUGUAUUUACAAAUGCUUCACCUUUGCCUUCGGUUUCUGCCUCUUUUUUGCUAUCUAGCAGGUCGACAUGCUUAGUUAAAAUGCAGAAACACUUAUCGAAGAACUCUCACAACUUCCGAUGUGCUUAUGGUAGUAAUUAGUAUUCAUUUCUAUUGUUUGGUUAUAUUUAAAGGAUAUACGUUGGAAAAGUUAGAGUAUGUUGAAGAAGGAUAUCAAGAACUAUGGAAGGGUAAAUAUUGCUUGGGUCGUUAAGGUGGUGUUGUCAAUUUUAGCUUUGUGGCUUCACUCCUUGUUGGUCUUGCAUCGUUGGUCAUCCUGCUGAGGGGUUAUUUCAGGGAUCUCAUCAUAUGACUAUUUUGUUUAGAAACCCUUCUUGGAGCUAUGUUUGGGGGAAUAGCUUUUUGGUUCCCUAGACUUUUUUUUUUUUUUCGUGUCUUCUAUUUUAGUUUCGUGCAGUCGCUUCUUCUAUAUAUAUAAUUUGUAAUCUUAUGCAACAAAGUCGGAUUUUCUAAGUGUCAUUUCCUUGUAUUGGUGGAUGCACAACCUUUUCGAUCUCUAGGGUAUAAUGGAAGUUUAUUGUUGUAAACGUGAAUUUCUUAUAAGACAAUCAUGCAGUCAGUCAUGCUCUUGAUUAUUUUCCCUUUUCAUUUUCUGGUUCUUUCUGUUCAUUGAUGGCAUCCCACCAAAUAUACUAUUUUGUUAACCAUGUAAUUUUCAUCAUAAAAGAUAACAAAUAAUGUAAUAAUGAAGACGUGAAUUAGUUAAAAAUAAUAUUGAAAUAGAACAAUCAUUUUUGUUUUUAACUAAUCACUUACUCCACUCAAUAUAACAAUUCAAAGAGUGAAAGCAACUUUUACCUUUCAUUUACUAUUUAUAUAAUUUAUUUAUUUUGGUGUUGAAUUAGAUUUUUCUUAAAAAGAUCGGUCUUCACAUAACCAUGUCCUAGAGGCCAGGGAGAUGUUUGAGGUGAAACCGACUAAGAGCUAGACGUUUCAUGUUUGAGUUGUGGAUGUUCGAAGACCUAUAGAUCACAAAGAGAUCCGAUAGCAUCUCAAGAUUACGUUCUGAGGCAAGUUAGGGGGUAUUACUCAAGAGAGUAAAUGAGAACUUUAAAGAGAAUUUGGUAGUGAGAUGUUACUUGGUGAUCUCUUAUAUGUAAGAGGUAUUUAUAGUGUUGUCGAGGAGAAAAUGCUUGUCAUAAGGUAUGAUCUAUGUUCAUCUAUCGUGUAUAUUUUUUGCAGGUGACCCUGGGUGGCGCGAUCUCUUAGUAGAAUUAGGCAAGACUCUUUUGGCUUCAUCGUGCGGGUUUCGAAAUCGAUUGUUGUUGUGGUUGCUCAACCAUGAUAUAAGGUGAGAUUAUCCAUACUGGAGUAAGGGUUUGGUAUAGCCAAAUGCUAAGUCUCCUUCCAAUUUGGUAGGCAUAGCGAGAUCCUUUGGCCAACAUUCGAUUAUCGUACUUAUCUUAUCCUGAUAGACACAAUGAUUUUUUGUUAACCGACUAGUUGUUUUUAGUGUUAUCGAUGCUAAACAUGUGCCACAUGCAUGUGUUAAUUAUCGUAAUAAGAGAUUAUGUUUUCUUGAUGUGUGGUUUAAUAUACUAAAAUGUAAUCAAAAUUUUAAAUUUAUAAAACUGGUUUAUUCUCAAGUAGACUAAAACACACACCAAAAAACUCUGAAACAAUUGCCAUACGAAAAAGGGUUUCUAAUUAAAGGGAAAAAAGGAUUUAUGUCAAUGCUUAUCCAAUUAAUACUCGUUAAAGCACAAUUUUGGAUUUGUAUGCCGGACCAAUAUUUUUGUCUCACAAAAACUUUGGAUUGAAAUACAUAACUAAUCGACACCAAUGAACAUGGUUACUUUCCAAAUUCUUCUACAUGAUCAAUGUAGUUACUGUUAGUGUGUUUAUUGAAGGAGACCACAUUUUACCAUUCCAAAAUUUGUACAUCUUUCCAAAUUUCUUUUAUAAAGGAAGAAAACAAGUGAUACAAACAAAAAUAAAUAAAUAAAUAAUAAUAAUAAUAAUAGAGGACGACCAAAAUGAAUAAUACAAAGAUGUCAUCGUCAAUGAUAAAGAAUAUAAUAAUAAAGAUGACGGACACCAUGAAAGACAACGGCGUCAUUAUAACGCUCGUGAUGAGUGUAAUAAUAAUAAUAAUAAUAAUAAUAAUAAUAAUAAUAAUAAUAAUAACCGUUAAUAAUAAAGAAUAGAUAAUUAACAUUUAAUAAAUUAAACUUGAUUAUAAUGGAUUCAUAAGUUGGAAUUCAUAAGAUUUGUAGUUCAACACUAAUCAAAUAUUUAGUUUUUAAUGGAAAAAACCAAAUUUCGUAACAUUUAUAAAAUACGUGCCAUAGAAUUUUGUAUACGCUUUAUACAUUAGAGGACUUAAAUGGUAAAAUUGUAUUAAUUGUGGAAUGCUAAUAUAAUAAUUUAUUAAAUUUUAUAUAGUUCAAUUAAUACAAUUUUAAUACAAUUUUACCAUUUACGUCCUCUAAUGUAUAAAACAUAUAUAAAUUAAACCUGAUUAUAAUGUGGAAUGCUAAUAUAACGUUUUAGGUAUUAUAAGUUUUACUAUAAGUAUAUGUUUUGUUUAUUUUUAUAUAUUAAUAUCUAUUGGGGCCGGGUCGGACUAGGGGUAUCCUCAACCCCACUUUUUUAUGUGGAGAUUCUCAUCUUCGUCCCUAUCCCCGGUCAAAACGGGUGUAAGUUUCGAGUUCCCUCUCGGAUAUGGAGAUUUUUUCCAUCCCUAAGAAUAUCUUAAUAUUUAUCUAGUUUUGAAAAAAAAUAAUAUCAUAGUAAUAAAUUUGAAAAAAUAUGGAAAUAUAAACUAUAAAAGUUACUCUUUAAAGUCCAUAAAUAAUAUUAUGUGAGACAAAUAGAUUAGAAUAAAAAUAUAAUAAAAUAGUAUAAAUAUUAAUGAAAAAGGUAUAAUAAAAUAGUACAUAUUCUAUCGGAUAGAUAGAAUAAACAAAAAUAGAUUACUAUAAGAUUAUAACAAAAUAAUAUCAAAUAUUAAACUAAAAGAAUAUAAUAUAAUAAUACUUUAUGUCGGAUACAUAAAAUACAAUUAAAUUAUAUUAAGAUAAUAUCAUCUAUUAGAUUGAGUGGCGGACCCAUACCAAAAUUUUACCGGGAUCCAUUAUAUCGUUAAUAUUAUAUGAUCAAAAGAAACUCUAAAAAUUUGUUAUUUUUUAGUAGGCCAAAUGUAACUUUCUACUUAAAUAUAGUACUCCCUCCGUCGCAAUAUUAUUGUCCAUAGACAAAAAAACAUACAGAUUAAGAAAAGUAUUAACUACCACUAACUUUAUUUAAUAAAAUGACAGCUUUGCCCUUACUUUGUAUUUAAUGUUUCAUUAAAUGCUUAGUUAGUUAAAUAAUAAUGAGGGGUAUUUUGGUAAAAAUGUUAUUUAUUUUUAGAAGUGGAUUAUUAUUUUGAGACAAACCAAAAAGGAAAGAUGGACUAUAAUUUUAGGACGGAGGAAGUAUCAUUUUUAUAUAUAGUAUAUGUGUUGCGGCUACUUUAAAUGGGGNCUAAAAUGGGGUGCAUGCACCCCACUACUAACAUACUAAAUCCGCCACUAAUUAGAUAAACAUAGUAUAAUAAGAUAACACCUUAUGUAUACAGAAAGAUAAUAUAAAAAGAAUAAAAAUAAGAUAAUACAUUUUGUCAUGUUUUUUAUUAAUACAAAAGGAAAAAAAUACAAAACAAUUACAUUAACAUAAUUUAUUUGUCUCACAAAAAGUAUUGUAGUAAAUUUAUAUCCUAUGAUAAUACCUUUGUCAACGGUUAAAUUUACAGGAAAAUAAUAGUAAGAUAAUCAUCGGCGGAUUUAAGGGUCUCACUGGGGAGNNNNNNNNNNNNNNNNNNNNNNNNNNNNNNNNNNNNNNNNNUUCAUUGAUUAGUUACUUUUGUUUAAGUCAGGAAAUGAUUUUUAAGUUUUUUUUACACAUUGAGAUCCAAUGAAUCAGUUGUUGACAGUGUAGGGCUUUAGGCGAACAAUCCAACCUAUUUGAAAUAGUUUGUCUAUUUCUGAAAUAGUUUAUCUAUUUCUAAAUAGUUUACUCUUUGUCGGACAAUACUUUCACGAUAAUUAUUGUGUCUUCCUUGUCAUUGGCACUAAACCAAUGUUGGCUACGCUUAGGCACUAAUCACACGUCUAACGAGGGCAGACAAGCAUACCGUAUUAGCAUCACAAAAUGCAAUACAUGCAACUUUAAUGCCUAUGUUUUCCCGAUCAUCGACACAAAUCUAAUGCUGGCUGCGCUGCUAGCACCGUUCGCACAUCAAACAAGGAUUAGCAAAGCAUAUCAUGAUUGUAUUGCCAGCCAAACAACACCAUCCUGUACUACCAAGGUNNNNNNNNNNNNGGGGGGGGGGGGUCCCUGGCCACCACUCGAUUUUACGUCGUAGUGUGAAAACAAAUUUGUUAAAGUGCACCCAUUAAAAAAUAUGCAACUGAUAGUUUAAGGAGCAACUAAAGCCGUAAUUCAUGCUUUUGCCACCGAAGUUAAUACCAUUUUGUCAAACAUAAAUACAAUAAAGUUAUAAUAAUAUAAUAUUAUCAAACAUUAAGAAUGCCUUGAAAUUACACUAAGAUAAUACUUUCUCUUAAGAUUAUAUUACAAUAAGACAAUUUAAUAGACAAAUAGAAUACAAUAAUAUUACAUUAAGAUAAUACAUCUAUAAAUAAUAUAAUACGAUUCCUAAAACAUUCUUUUAACUAAAUAGAUAAAAUAUAAUAAAAUAAUAUAUUCUGUCGUACCAGAGAAUAAAUAAGAUUAUAAUAAGAUAAUAUUCUACGCUGUUUUAGUUUUUUUAAAUGGUUUUAUUGUCUAGAAUAUAUAGAUUUUUCUAAAGAUAAAGUUGUAAUUUCAUAAUAAUGUCAAAAUUUGGAAACUUUGCUUGUAAAUUAUCCUAAAUUAAUAAAAUCUUAAUUUUAUGAAUAACGACAACAAUUAUUACUAUUAUUGUUGUUUUAUCGCUUUUUAUUAACUAGUUACACAUAAUUCACGACAGACAAAUGUGAUUCCAUGUCGAUAGAAUUAACGAUCAAGUACUGGUGAAAUGAUUUUGGUUGACUGUAAAACAAAGAAAAUAGACGGUUCACUAACUCUUCUUACUCCUAUAAAUAAUCCAACACAUGCGUGACAUAUUCACUCAUCCUUCUCUUCCACUAUCUCCCCUCUCCAUAUACCGAAUAAAUCUGUAGCACUGCAGUCAUGGAAACAAGACUUCUCUUUGCUUUCGUACUCAAAGCCUACCCGAAGACUACCAAACCAUCACAACACCACACUCCAUUUUCUGCAGUUACAACAUCCCAUUUUCUACAGAUCUUGAGACUUCAUGCUUCUAAAACUCUCGAGACAAUAUACGAAGAAGAAAUGACUACAGACAGUGAAGCAGAGAUGGUGUUGUGGAUGUAUUUACAAGUGCUUCACAUUUGCCUUUAGUUUCUGCCUCUUUUUUGCUAUCCAGCAGGUCGAGAUGCUUAGUUAAAAUGCAUAAACACUUAUCUAAGAACUC
rnacentral:lncRNA from 1 species